rnacentral:rRNA from 1 species
GACGUAGGGCGCGAGCGUUGUCCGGAUUUAUUGGGCGUAAAGAGCUCGUAGGCGGCUUGUCGCGUCGUCCGUGAAAACUUGGGGCUCAACCCCAAGCUUGCGGUCGAUACGGGCAGGCUAGAGUUCGGUAGGGGAGACUGGAAUUCCUGGUGUAGCGGUGAAAUGCGCAGAUAUCAGGAGGAACACCGGUGGCGAAGGCGGGUCUCUGGGCCGAUACUGACGCUGAGAUACGAAAGUGUGGGGAUCAAACAGG